GAUGAACGCUGGCGGCGUGCCUAAUACAUGCAAGUCGAGCGAACGGACGAUAAUCUUGCUUCUCUGAUGUUAUCGGCUGACGGGUGAGUAACACGUGUAUAACCUACCUCUAAUACUUGGAUAACUUCGGGAAACCUUAGCUAAUACCGGAUGAUAUUUUGAACCUCAUUGUUCAAAAGUGAAAUACGGUCUUUCUGUCACUUAUAGAUUGAUCCGCGCUGCAUUAGCUAGUUGGUAAGGUAACGGCUUACCAAGGCAACGAUGCAUAGCCGACCUGAGAGGGUGAUCGGAGACACUGGAAGGGAGACACGGUACAGACAACGAAGGGAGGCAGCAGAAGGGAAUAGACCGAAAUGGGAGAAAGCAUGACGGAGCAAAGCCGAGUGAGAGAUGAAGGUCUUAGGAUCGUAAAACUCUGUUAUUAGGGAAGAAAAAAAGUGGAAGAAAAAGUGCACAUAGUGACGGUAACAAAUAAGAAAGCAACGGCUAACUACGUG
rnacentral:rRNA from 1 species